GACGAACGCUGGCGGCGUGCUUAACACAUGCAAGUCGAACGGAAAGGCCCUGCUUUUGUGGGGUGCUCGAGUGGCGAACGGGUGAGUAACACGUGAGUAACCUGCCCUUGACUUUGGGAUAACUUCAGGAAACUGGGGCUAAUACCGGAUAAGAGCUCCUGCUGCAUGGUGGGGGUUGGAAAGUUUCGGCGGUUGGGGAUGGACUCGCGGCUUAUCAGCUUGUUGGUGGGGUAGUGGCUUACCAAGGCUUUGACGGGUAGCCGCCCUGAGAGGGUGACCGGCCACAUUGGGACUGAGAUACGGCCCAGACUCCUACGGGAGGCAGCAGUGGGGAAUAUUGCACAAUGGGCGGAAGCCUGAUGCAGCAACGCCGCGUGCGGGAUGACGGCCUUCGGGUUGUAAACCGCUUUCGCCUGUGACGAAGCGUGAGUGACGGUAAUGGGUAAAGAAGCACCGGCUAACUACGUG
rnacentral:rRNA from 1 species